rnacentral:rRNA from 1 species
UCGAGAAUCAUUCACAAUGGGGGCAACCCUGAUGGUGCGACGCCGCGUGGGGGAAGAAGGCCUUCGGGUCGUAAACCCCUGUCAUGUGGGAGCAAAUUAAAAAGAUAGUACCACAAGAGGAAGAGACGGCUAACUCUGUGCCAGCAGCCGCGGUAAUACAGAGGUCUCAAGCGUUGUUCGGAAUCACUGGGCGUAAAGCGUACGUAGGCUGCCGAGUAAGUCAGGUGUGAAAGGCGAGGGCUCAACCUUCGGACUGCACAUGAUACUGCCCGGCUAGAGAAAUGGAGGGGAAACCGGAAUUCUCGGUGUAGCAGUGAAAUGCGUAGAUAUCGAGAAGAACACUCGUGGCGAAGGCGGGUUUCUGGACAUUAACUGACGCUGAGGUACGAAGGCUAGGGUAGCGAAAGGG